rnacentral:rRNA from 1 species
GAUGAACGCUGGCGGCGUGCCUAACACAUGCAAGUCGAGCGGGAUCUUGCUAAAUGACGCAUCGGUUGAUUUUAGUAAGUGAGAGCGGCGGACGGGUGAGUAACGCGUAGGCAACCUGCCCUUUGCAGAGGGACAACAGUUGGAAACGACUGCUAAUACCGCAUAACACUUUAGUACCGCAUGGUACAGAAGUCAAAGCUUUAUGUGCUGAGAGAUGGUCUCGCGUCUGAUUAGCUAGAUGGCGGGGUAACGGCCCACCAUGGCGACGAUCGGUAGCCGGACUGAGAGGUUGAACGGCCACAUUGGGACUGAGAUACGGCCCAGACUCCUACGGGAGGCAGCAGUGGGGAAUAUUGGGCAAUGGGGGAAACCCUGACCCAGCAACGCCGCGUGAAGGAAGAAGGCCUUCGGGUUGUAAACUUCUUUUAGUAGGGACGAAGAACGUGACGGUACCUACAGAAAAAGCAACGGCUAACUACGUG